UACAGAGGUCUCAAGCGUUGUUCGGAUUCACUGGGCGUAAAGCGCGCGUAGGCGGGUUGCUAAGUCCGCUGUGAAAGCCCGAGGCUCAACCUCGGAGGGUCGGUGGAUACUGGCAGCCUUGAAGGUGGUAGGGGGAGAUGGAAUUACCGGUGUAGCGGUGAAAUGCGUAGAGAUCGGUAGGAACACCAGUGGCGAAGGCGGUCUCCUGGCCCACUCUUGACGCUGAGGCGCGAAAGCUGGGGGAGCGAACGGG
rnacentral:rRNA from 1 species